CAGGAAAGUUAGAGAUCUGAGCAAGCAGAGGAAAAAAAAAUCAUGGAAGCCUUCUUUGAGGAGGUGGGGCAGAGCAUGAGCUGACCUUGGACAAUGGGAGCCUGCUAGGGAAGGGCAAUUCUCCAAGACUCUUGAUGCCCUUUUUCUAUAAGUCAGUUGACACAGGCACUGAGCUGGUAAGACAAGACUUCAUUGAGCAGAGUCUUAAAGGACAGAAAGGAAUUUCCAAGGCUGACAAGGAUGUGAGGGGAAGAGGUUACCCCACCUGAACAUCCUCCUGGGAGGAAGCAGGGCAUGAAUCCGAAGGAAUUAGUGAAGUCCUUCCAUAGCCAUCCUUGAUGGUGGAGCGGGGGUGUGUCUCAGCAAAAAGCCACAGACUUAUAACUCAUGUAAGCUGUUUCUCAAAUAUCUGCCCAGUGGUGCUGGUGAGAGCCCGAUGAAAAUGCACAAAGAGUGACACAACCUGGCCACCACUAAGAAGUAAAGAGCUCAGUGAUUUCUCAUCUAUUCUUUCACAGCUACACACCAAUGAAAACAAACACCCGAAACCGUCUUCUGUGGCAUUUGUCAGUUGAAAAAGAACACCUUAGACUUAACUUUUAAAAUGUCUGUAAUAAAAAUAUAAUUCCAUUUUCUUUUCUCGUUUGGUUCUGUUAUGCUCAGUGUUACUUGUGACAGAUAAAACAUUAUUUACAAC
rnacentral:lncRNA from 1 species